rnacentral:rRNA from 1 species
CAAUAGCGUAUAUUAAAGUUGUUGCAGUUAAAAAGCUCGUAGUUGAACUUCAGACCUGGCUGGGUGGUCUGCCUUCUUGGCGUGUACUGUCCGGCCGGGCCUUACCUCUUGGUGAGCCGGCAUGCCCUUCACUGGGUGUGUCGGGGAACCAGGACUUUUACCUUGAGAAAAUUAGAGUGUUCAAAGCAGGCUUAUGCCCGAAUACAUUAGCAUGGAAUAAUAAAAUAGGACGUGCGGUUCUAUUUUGUUGGUUUCUAGAGUCGCCGUAAUGAUUAAUAGGGAUAGUUGGGGGCAUUAGUAUUCCGUUGCUAGAGGUGAAAUUCUUGGAUUUACGGAAGACUAACUACUGCGAAAGCAUUUGCCAAGGAUGUUUUCAUUAA